ACGUACGCAAUCUGACCUUAUCACGGGAUAGCCAGAGAAAUUUGGAUUAAUACCCGAUAGUAUUAUAAUAAGGCAUCUUGUUGUAAUUAAAGCUAUGGCGGAUAAGGAUGAGCGUGCGCAAGAUUAGCUAGUUGGUGAGGUAACGGCUCACCAAGGCGACGAUCUUUAGCUGAUGUGAGAGCAUGAUCAGCCACACGGGCACUGAGACACGGGCCCGACUCCUACGGGAGGCAGCAGUGAGGAAUAUUGGUCAAUGGACGGAAGUCUGAACCAGCCAUGCCGCGUGAAGGAUGAAGGCGUUCUGCGUUGUAAACUUCUUUUAUUUAGGAAGAAACCACCGAUUUCUAUUGGUGUUGACGGUAUUAAAUGAAUAAGCACCGGCUAACUCCGUG
rnacentral:rRNA from 1 species